rnacentral:rRNA from 1 species
CAGUAGCCGCGGGAAUACGUAGGGUGCGAGCGUUAAUCGGAAUUACUGGGCGUAAAGCGUGCGCAGGCGGUUAUAUAAGACAGAUGUGAAAUCCCCGGGCUCAACCUGGGACCUGCAUUUGUGACUGUAUAGCUAGAGUACGGUAGAGGGGGAUGGAAUUCCGCGUGUAGCAGUGAAAUGCGUAGAUAUGCGGAGGAACACCGAUGGCGAAGGCAAUCCCCUGGACCUGUACUGACGCUCAUGCACGAAAGCGUGGGGAGCAAGCAGGAUUAGAUACCCCAGUAGUCCCUGUCUCUUAUAC